rnacentral:rRNA from 1 species
AUUGAACGCUGGCGGCAUGCCUUACACAUGCAAGUCGAACGGUAACAGGUCUUCGGAUGCUGACGAGUGGCGAACGGGUGAGUAAUACAUCGGAACGUGCCCGAUCGUGGGGGAUAACGGAGCGAAAGCUUUGCUAAUACCGCAUACGAUCUACGGAUGAAAGCAGGGGACCGCAAGGCCUUGCGCGGACGGAGCUGCCGAUGGCAGAUUAGGUAGUUGGUGGGAUAAAAGCUUACCAAGCCGACGAUCUGUAGCUGGUCUGAGAGGACGACCAGCCACACUGGGACUGAGACACGGCCCAGACUCCUACGGGAGGCAGCAGUGGGGAAUUUUGGACAAUGGGCGAAAGCCUGAUCCAGCCAUGCCGCGUGCAGGAUGAAGGCCUUCGGGUUGUAAACUGCUUUUGUACGGAGCGAAAAGCCUCUUUCUAAUAAAGAGAGGUCAUGACGGUACCGUAAGAAUAAGCACCGGCUAACUACGUGCCAGCCGCCGCAGUAACAC